rnacentral:rRNA from 1 species
GUGGAUUAGAUACCCUGGUAGUCCUAGCAGUAAACGGUGCACGCUUGGUGUGAGGGGAUUCGACCCCCCUUGUGCCGGAGCUAACGCGUUAAGCGUGCCGCCUGGGAAGUACGGUCGCAAGACUAAAACUCAAAGAAAUUGACGGGGACCCGCACAAGCGGUGGAGUAUGUGGCUUAAUUCGAUGCAACGCGAAGAACCUUACCAAGGCUUGACAUGGAUUUCUAAGCACGUGAAAGCGUGUGACCCUUCGGGGGACUUCCACAGGUGCUGCACGGUCGUCGACAGCU